CCCUAGCCCUGAUAGAAGUGGAAAUCCUUUUUCUUUUUUCUUUAAAAAGCAAAAGAUUGGAACGGAUAGCAGGAAAUAGC
rfam:Flavobacterium sp. ov086 genome assembly, contig: Ga0070134_114